rnacentral:rRNA from 1 species
AAUAGAUACCCGGGUAGUCCACGCCGUAAACGAUGAGUGCUAAGUGUUAGAGGGUUUCCGCCCUUUAGUGCUGCAGCUAACGCAUUAAGCACUCCGCCUGGGGAGUACGGUCGCAAGACUGAAACUCAAAGGAAUUGACGGGGGGCCCGCACAAGCGGUGGAGCAUGUGGUUUAAUUCGAAGCAACGCGAAGAACCUUACCAGGUCUUGACAUCCUCUGACAACUCUAGAGAUAGAGCGUUCCCCUUCGGGGGUACAGAGUGACAGGUGGUGCAUGGUUGUCGUCAGCUCGUGUCGUGAGAUGUUGGGUUAAGUCCCGCAACGAGCGCAACCCUUGAUCUUAGUUGCCAGCAUUCAGUUGGGCACUCUAAGGUGACUGCCGGUGACAAACCGGAGGAAGGUGGGGAUGACGUCAAAUCAUCAUGCCCCUUAUGACCUGGGCUACACACGUGCUACAAUGGAUGGUACAAAGGGCUGCAAGACCGCGAGGUCAAGCCAAUCCCAUAAAACCCAUUCUCAGUUCGGAUUGU